CACCCAUCACUGCGCAACACACACAUAAAAACACACACACACACGCGCGCGCGCCCUACACAAACGUAUCCUUUCACUUAAAGAUUUAAAAAAGGCUAAUGUCAGACCUCGCUCGAGCCAAACAGUCCCUCUGUGCUCCACAAGGCCCACGUUGCAGCACUAGCAGCAAUCACAGUAGAAACUCUAGUGAUAGUGAAAGUCUCAGCAGCAGUAGAAGCAGUAGAAACCGCAGCCAUAGUGAUAGUGGAAAUGGCAGCAAAAAUAAAAGCAGUAGAAACGGCAGUGUCAGCAGUAGCAGCAGCAGCAGUAGGAACAGCAGUGAUAGUGGUAGUGGCAGUAGCAGCAGCAGCAGUAGGAACAGCAGUGAUAGUGGUAGUGGCAGCAGCAGUUAUUGGGUAAUACACUAAGCAGGCAGGCAGCCAACAAGGUCUAAACAACAGCCUCACCCAUAGCCCCCCCCGAACGGCCUCCCUCCCCUCAACACUAGAGAGAACAGUUACAGAGGUGCUCUCCGUGAAGCGUGGAGGCGGACAAAGAGAGGAUGAUUGCCCUGGACGAGCUGGGGGCUUCAGCGUAUUGUUUUGGAGGCCGGGUGAAUCGGGCCCUACGUGUGCGCCCCUGCAGUCUGCUGCAGACCUGCCUCAACCUGCCUACCUCAAGGGUUGACUCUGUGUGGCAUCGCCCCUAUUAUACACACACAGAAGGGAUACGCGCACACGCACACACAAAGAGAGAUUUGCACCGUUCAGUAACUAGCAAUAACAACGUAUACAGGCGCAAACAUAUAUGAGACUCAAACGAACACACAAGACUUCUCUUUCGUUCUGUCUCUCCAUCACACUCUCCCACACACUCACAAACACACAUUCUCAUACAAACACACACACAUUAUAUACACACACACACACACACACACACACACACAGACACGCACACAUACACUGUCAUACACACAGAGAGACACACAACAAACUCUUAUCAGGGGAGGAAGGCUGCAUCUUCGCUUACUCACACAUACUGACUUCCGUUGUGAAAUGUAAGUUCUCAGGCAUUCUAGGGGGACUGCCACACAGCCUUUGUCUCCAGAGAGAGCAGGGAGAGCAGCACAGAGGGAGAGUAAGAGAGAGAGAGAGAGAGAGAGAGAGAGAGAGACUUAUGCCUGUCUCUAGAUCUCUCUGGAUAGGGGCAGAGAGAUGGCUGGCACUGAAACUGUCCCCUCUAAGGGCUCACAAGGCAUCUCCCAGGAACAACGAUUUAAAUACAUCGUUUUGAAAGCGAACUGCAAACACGCUACAUUUGCAUUUGUUUGUGCAUUCAAUGACUUCAAGGAGUCAUGCAUGCAGCAAGCUCAAAUCAAUGUGUAGAAAGGCAGGGAUGGGGUAACUCAAAAGGGAAGCAACCCAAAAUAGGUGGGGGACGGUAUGGUGGUGGGCGUUUCUCGCUGUUGUUGUGUUCUGUGUGUGUGUGUGUAUGUGUGUGUGUGUGUGUGUGUGUGUCCGUGUGUGUGUGUGUGUGUGUGUGUGUGUGUGUGUGUGUGUGUGUGUGUGUGUGUGUGUGUGUGUACAUUUGUGUGUGUGUGUGUGUGUGGGGGGGGGCUGCUGAUCCAAGUGCGGAGCGCAGGAAGAGGUAGACAGGUGCACAGCCACUUUUCUCAACAGAUGUUGAAACCUGUCUCCGAGGUUCCGUUGGAAAGAGAAGCGGAAGUGAGGGGCCCCUGCUGCAACACGUCCUCAACUGUCAUCCCACGUCACGCCCUGGAGUGGGGGGGGGGGGGGGGGGGGGGUAGCUAAGCCGUCACAACCCCAGUUACAGCUUUCGAGAAAGAACCUAAUGAGUGAAAAGGUAUCAGAUGUUGUUCUAAAAUAAGUGUUGUGGCGCCUAACGCGGGGACCUCCCAUCACGCUUUACCCCGAGAGACGCAGAACGAAAGAACGCUUGUUUCCUGGUAGCGGCCGCACAAGUCUGCCUGCUCACACAAUACCAUUAUUUGGUUUCCUCUUCCUUGUUCCUUGACGCCUUGGCGCGUCAUAGCGCUGUCGCUUCCAUUGGACACGCAUGUUUGUGCUCCACGUUGUUCACAAAACAAACUGGUAGUGAGGGACGUUGUUUGUCCGAAAGAGAAAAAUUAUUUGUACUUUCAGCUGACGUCAGCAGUAAAGAACAUCCAUCCUUGAUAGCGUUGACAAUAACAUUUGCCAAAGUGUGUGACACGUUCUCCGGAUUUUUCCCGGUGGCACUCACAGGUCUCAGUGAACCCGUGGUGGCAGUCCAGUACGGAGCAGUACGCUGCAAAUCAAUUCUAUUUUGUUAUCAGGGGCCUAUCGACUCCAUUUAUACGUCAAACACAAAUAUUUACACUUCAAAUAUAUUCAGUGCAGACUUGGGCCCGAGCCAAAGCACGUAUUGCCCUUUGCUACGUAGAUAGAGUUUCACUUUGCCCCUGAAAAGAGCAGCCGGGCCCUUUUGCUAAAGAGAGCGUGUGUUUAAUUUUAAUAUGUCUGCCCCAUCGGAUGGGAACAUAUGCUUCUCUCUUUGACUGCACAGACAGAUUGAGCGUGAGGGAGAGGGGAGAGAGAGAGAGAGAGAGAGAGAGAGAGAGAGAGAGAGAGAGAGAGAGAGAGAGAGAGAGAGAGAAAGAA